GCCAGAGCUGGGAUUCGAACUCAUGAGCCCUGACUCCAAAGCCCGUGCUCUUUCCACUGAGCCACGCUGCUUUAUUUAGGUGAUAUCAAGAGCAUUCCUUUAGCCAUUUCAAUUUUGAGAUACAUUCUUCAGGAAAGAGAAAAGUGCCCAGUGAUUAAGGAAUAGGCAAUGGUCUGAAAACCUUUUCUCCCAAGGGUGAUAUUUGUAGCCUGCUGGCAUGAAAGAAGCCAUGUUAUUCCUUGAAAUUUUAUUUUCCAGUAUUUACUUACAGUGGUAGGAGGAGGGUGGUGUAGUAUCAGGACUUGUCCUAGAUAGAGGGAAUCGUUAUGCUUACUAUAGCCAUAAUUUGUGUUCAGUCUUUCUAUCAAACCAUGUUCAACAACGUGGUGCCAUCAAUCUAAUGAGGACAAUCAAAUAACCUAUUCCUUGCCUUGAAGUUGACACCCGCUAAUCAUACAUGCAGAAGUGUUUAUCAAACAAACUAUUUGACACUCAUUUCUUCAUAUAAGCUCAGUUUUUCCUGCACCCUAUCUCCUGCACCAUUACUGGUUAAGAGGAAGGAUUGCCACACUACUGGAAAGAUGUGAACUCUUAAGGAUAGGGAAUUUCCAUAUCCCUUCCCACUGUCCCUGGGCCCUCUUGGGCUGCAGUAAUGUCCCCAUCUUGGUGGGGGCCAGGAGAGAGAGGAUGUAGGAAAUCCUGGGAACACAAGUAGAUGGUAACACCUUUCUUUGAAUUUGUAUUUGAAACUGUGAGCCCCUCAGCAAAAACCAUAAAGCUCCUGAACUUUGUCACUUGUGAAGAUCAACUUUCUUGCCAUUUUCUUGUGUAGCACGAAGAUUUGUAUCGAAUGAAUAGUAUUUGGAAGGGGCAUGGGGUGAAAACGUGUUUGUCCUUUUAAACCCCCUCCCUCCACUGUCAUCUUUCUCUUUACCCCCACCCUCACUGUGUUGGUCUAAAUGAUAAUUAUUCUAUGAAGCCCUGAGCUGUAGUUGUCAAAAGUAACUAUGAAAUGUGAUUAGUCCUCUGUGGGUCCUUCUUUCUUUCCCUCCUUUUCUUUCUUCCUUUCUUCUUUCCUUCCUUCCUUCCCUCCUUCCUUUUUUUCUUCCUUUCUGUCUCUCUCUCUCUCCCUCCCUUCCUCCCCCCCCCCCCCCACUCCUGGGUAAGUGGAAAAGGUGAGGACAAAGAACUGCCGCUUGCUUGGACUCAUGCUGUAUCUGUGACUGCGCUAUUAGCUCUCUUUUUUUCCUUCUCAAAUGGAUAGAAAAUUUUUUGAAGUGUGGAGUACCCUUCUUGAUAAGUAGGUAUAAAAAAUGCACAAUGUGGUACUGUUUCAUAGUUUCUAGAUGGUUGUAUAAAGCAAAAAGUUAAUGUGGUUAUGUGUUUUUAAAAGAAAAAAGUGAUUGGUUACAGAACUCUGUCCUUUUUUCCAUUAUUACAAGCUCUCUUUGUUUUUCAACCAUUUGCUGGCUCUUUUGUCACUGGUGAGUCGUGGGUGUGUGUGGUGUUACUCCUCGCUGGGUUUCUUGGGUCUUUUGUUUCUGGCUACAAUUAUGCUUGCCCUUAUUUCUAAUUUGGUUAUAGGCAAAUUAGGAGUGUAAAGGGUGGAUGUUUUUGAAGAAAUUUUGACAUAAGGAAAGGGUUAAUUCAAUGCUUUCUCACCUACAGACUUUGACAAAAAUUAUAUGUAAUGGGCCUACUUUGCAACACAUCUUCAGCCAUCCCACUACCUGUGUUUAUAUAGGAAAUUUGUGUGCCUGCCGGUAAUGUACAUAUACAAACUGACAGUCAUUUCCCUAUAGAUCAGUUUUUAUGUUCCUUGUUGAGUAGGGAGCUAGAGGUGGUGGGAGGGAGUGAACUCCAGCCAGGGAAGCCCUAUGGAUUCCUCUGCAAAGGACCCAUAAGGGCUUUUCUUUGGUUCUACCUUUCCCCAGGCGUAUAUCAAUCAAGUAAUUGAUUCUGAGUCAUCAGCUGAUAGGUGGCGGGGCGAAAACUAAAAUUCAGAAAUUCUCAAUCUGGACAUGGCCUCAACUAUGCAGUGGAGUCUUGGAAUGGCCCUCCUCCCUUUUUCUCACUGUAUGGCAUGUGCUAUUUUCUGCAGAGUCUCCUCAGUCUUCUUAAGGUUUGCCAUGGUAAAUUCUGCCUGUCUCUCUUGAGCAAAACCCAGAAACUUCCUCAUCCUUUCUCUGUGCGACAGUAAAGAUUAUAUUAUCUUGAUUUUUGCAGUUCAUUUUUAUGCCCUAUAACUGGUAAUAGAAGCCUUCAACUUAAUUUUUCUCAUUUCCAUCUCCCAACUUGGCUUUGAAUUUUAUAAUCUCCAAGACACAGGAAAUGAAGAUAAUCAGGAUCAUAGUAACAGUCACUCAGGAGUUACUCCAGGCAGGUGAUUGUACCCUUGAGGCACACUUGAAAGAAGAUUUGCAAAUGACUGGGGAAAUCUUUGCAGAAUCAACCCAGUACUGAAAACCUAAAAACAACCAAGGUAUUGUACCACAAGGCACCAGGGUGAAUACACUCACCCAUAGACCUUCACAGAACAAAAUGUUGUCACUGAAUUUCUUUCUGUAUUCAGCACAUUAGCCAUCAGUAGAGAGCAAAAUAGAAAAGCCAAUUGGAAAAGUUAGCUUGACCUUGGGGAAACUGCAUGGCCAGGUGGUGACAGUGUGGCAUUAGCUUCUUUUAUCUACCCUAGUGCUUAGGACAGUGCUUGGCACAUAGAAAGCACUUAACAGAUACCAUAAAAUAAAAUGGAGGUUUACAAAGCUGUAAUGCUGUCCAACUUUCUAUAGGACUGUAAGCCCUGGAGCUAGUUACAGAUGCCAAAUUCAAAGAUGUGAGCCAAUUACCUCAAUAUUACCCAUGGGCCUUACUCAUCUUUAAAUGCAAGGCAGAAUGAUAAAUCAUAAGGUCCUUGAGCAAGGUCAAUGUACUAACGUUGAAUCCCUGCCCACCAGAACCAAAAGGGCCUCUGCAUAGAAUAAGUGGUGGAAGUUGACCCCAACAGAUGCUGAAAGGUGAACUAAAGCAAGAUGGAGAGCAAGCAGGCAGAUGAAACAUUUGAGCUUAUGUGAAGUACAACUUCAGACAAAACAGUUCAAAUUAACAGGUCUUGAUUUGAAAGGGAACUGUUGCAGACAGGCUUUCCUUGCCAUAAUCAAGACAUGAGUGGCUCUUUGGUAGCUGAAGCUUAAGAGGACUCUGAGACUUAAGCAAAGCUGAAAACAGCAUCAGAUUCUGCACUCGGCAAACAUGUUGGCACAAGAGAGAAAGUCUUUUUUGUCUUUGCCUGUAAUAGUAGUAGGGACUGUCAGCCUCACAGAGACCUCCUUCCCCAUACCUGCAUCCAUGGAUUAAAUCUUUUUAAACCAUGAAUGCAUCACUUCACAUUCAAACCACGCCCCCUCAAGUGUGUAUAUCCAUGUGUGUGAAAACUCUUAACCAUGGCAUCUGAUAGAUGGAAUCAUUACCUGCCGGGAGAAGUUGGAAGAAGUAUAGAUUCCUGCAGGGGGUGAGUGCUGCACUAACCUGCUCAUGUGCCCCAAAUUCAAGUUAGAUACAAUCAGUGCAUCAAAACGUAGCAUCCAAAUCAUCGAGGAGGCUAAUAUCAAAUUCCUGAAAAAUAAGGAAACCUAAGGUGUUCGUGGUAUCAGAACAAGGAAUUCCAGCUUGAAUACAGGGCAAGAACAGUCAAUGGGAACCUCUCGGGGAUACUAUCAAGCCACCUCCAAGAAUGCAGGUAUGAAAAGGAGACAUCACCACUACUGGUUUGCUGAAAAUGACUCCGAUUUUAGCAACUACUUGCAGCACUAAGUAAGAAAUGAUUAAACUCUUUUCACUAUCUCCUGAUCAGAACAAAAUGGAGACCUCACAAAGCUGUGUUGGGUAAGAUUUUGCCAGCUUUGGUAUUCCACCAUCAAACUAAGAAGGAUGUGUGACCAAUAGUGGAAUACCAAAGCUGUCAGAAUCCAGGAAUUGACUGACCACCCCCGCCCUACAGGUGCACUGUGAAGGCCAGCACCACACUCAAGUGGGCCCUUAGGAAGUGUUCUAGGAUGGUUAUGCUCUGGGAUCUUUUUCAAUUUUAUCUUAGAUAGAAAUCUCUUGCCCCAUUAUCUUUCCUAGUGCCAAAUGAUUUUCCUUUGUCCUCUACAAGAAACCAUAGGUUCCUGCUUCAAAUCUUCACCAAUAAGUGACUGUUUCUGCACCUUUGCUAAUUGGUAGCCUGUGUUGGAACCAUGCUAGGUUCAAAGUCUAAGCCUAUUCUCCUUCUCAACCUGUUACUCUUCCACCAACUUCUUUACUUGGGCAGUAGCCUUCUCUUUCCUCCCCACUUCAGUCCUGACCGCUGUCAGUCUCGGUCACUUCUAUUAUUAUUAAGGAUUGGGCCUGGCUCCCUUUACUACCUCUUCCCUGUGAAUAUUUUCUGAGAGUUUGAUGAGACCUCCUUGCCUCACCACUUUUACAGAUGGAGAAACAGGCUUUAAACUGAGAAGAGUGGACUUGCCGAGGGUCACGAUACUGUCAGUGGCAGAGCUGCUGUUAGAACUUCUAAUUCCAAAUUUCUAACCUGCUGUCCCGAGACAGAGAGAGAGCUAAAUAACCGGAAUUGGCUUUCCGGGGCUCAGACCCGUCUGCUGCUGCUCCUGCUGCUGCUCCUGCGAACCAAUGAUAAAUCCAGCAAACUGGAAGUCCUCCAGAGAGAAGAGAAGCUGAGCUCGCCCUUCCCUUCGGGCCUCCCGGGAGGGUGGCUCCUGGUUCCGGUGCUGGCCUCUCUGGGCGACCCGUGGAACCGGACCUCGUGGACACCGGGUUCAGAGACGCUGCCUGCUUUGGCACCAGGAUUUUAUAUCCUUUAACCCACCCUGGACUGGGAAGGGAAGGGGAGUGGGGAGGAGGAGUGUCCUCCCUCCUUCUUAUCCUCCUCCCUCCUCCUCUAACUCCUUCCCUUGAAGAGGCAAAUCCUUUCCAGCUGCAGCUCGACUGUGAACCCCACAUGGAACAGGGACCAGGUCUGACC